rnacentral:rRNA from 1 species
GACCUCAAAUCAGGUAGGACUACCCGCUGAACUUAAGCAUAUCAAUAAGCGGAGGAAAAGAAACUAACAAGGAUUCCCCUAGUAACUGCGAGUGAAGCGGGAAGAGCUCAAAUUUUGAAUCUGGCGGUCUCCGGCCGUCCGAGUUGUAAUCUAGAGAAGCGUCUUCCGCGCUGGACCGUGUACAAGUCUCCUGGAAGGGAGCAUCGUAGAGGGUGACAAUCCCGUCUCCGACACGGACUACC